rnacentral:misc_RNA from 1 species
UCCGGUUUAACACCGGCAGUCUCCGUAGAGUGCCCAACUAAAUGAUGGCAACUACGGACAAGGGUUGCGCUCGUUAAGGGACUUAACCCGACAUCUCACGAUACGAGCUGACGACAGCCAUGCAGCACCUGUCUCCCAGCCUCCGAAGAGGAAACCCUACUUCUAGGGCUGUCUGGGGAUGUCAAAUCCAGGUAAGGUUCUUCGCGUUGCAUCGAAUUAAACCACAUGCUCCACCGCUUGUGCGGGCCCCCGUCAAUUCCUUUGAGUUUUAACCUUGCGGCCGUACUUCCCAGGCGGGGUACUUAAUGCGUUAGCGUCGGCACUGCAGGGGUCAAUUCCUACAACACCUAGUACCCAUCGUUUACGGCGUGGACUAC